rnacentral:rRNA from 1 species
UACGUAGGGGGCAAGCGUUGUCCGGAUUUAUUGGGCGUAAAGAGCGUGUAGGCGGCUCGGUAAGUCUGCUGUGAAAGUCCAGGGCUCAACCCUGGGAUGCCGGUGGAUACUGUCGAGCUCGAGUCCGGAAGAGGCGAGUGGAAUUCCUGGUGUAGCGGUGAAAUGCGCAGAUAUCAGGAGGAACACCAAUGGCGAAGGCAGCUCGCUGGGACGUGACUGACGCUGAGACGCGAAAGCGUGGGGAGCAAACAGG